UGCCUAGGUGAGCUCGCUGUAGUCCAG
rnacentral:piRNA from 1 species